ensembl:lncRNA
CAGUGACUAUUCACAGGUUCCGUCAUAGCACACUGUGGUCUCCAGUGAUCCUUCUGCCUCAGCCUCCUGAGUAAAUGGGAAUACAGGCACUUAUCACCAUAUCCAGCAGUUUUGUGUCUGAUAGGCUGUUACAAUGCUUGGCUCGAGGGAUACCAAGACGCUAAGAUUUAGUCGUUGUAGAGAAGGAGUCUGUCAUCAAGUGAGGAGACAGACUUGUUAACAGAAUAUUACCACAGAGUAAAUGCUAUUACAAAGGUAAAGCAAAUUUUUCAUCAAAGAAAGCUUGGACAGAAAAUAUGCCUGGUAAAUCAGUCUUCUAAAAGCUGCUGGAGAUCACUAAGAGACGGACCCAGGGCCUGCAAUAUUGUGGGUCAAUACUUCAUGAAACAGAAGGUACUCUUGAUGCAAGGAUGGAAAUCGUAUCUGUAUCAGAAAUCGUCUAGAAAAAAAUUGCUGGCAGUCAAUGUAACUGAGCAGCAAGAAUAUGGUUUGCAUCAUUCUAGGCAUUGAGGAGAAUGAUAAGUGAAGUCCUCAGAAUUCUUUUAAAAGUUAGAGGUUUAAUGCUUAAAUUCUUCUGAGACCUUACAUGAGGUAGACAGUUUAUAUGUAAUAAAGGAUGGAGUCUAAUACCAAAUGAAUAUGGUUAUGUAAGUGCGAGGUAGAAAUAGUCUGAAAAAGAGAUAAGCUCACUAGAUUUAAAAUUGGUUUAAUGCAUCUAGAGAGACAUGAAUGUAGCCGGGAAAGGAUUAUACUUCCAAAAUUUUGGCAAAGUCGCAUCUGUAAGGCAUCAGAUCUAAUACAGUCACAACGAGUAGAAAAUUUAUUGAGAGCUUAAAAAAGAAUUUAUUAGUGAAUAUUAAAUGCUAAAAUUAAUAUUAAGUCAUUGAUUAUUGUUGAUUUUUUUUGAAAAAGAAAUUUUGCAAUGUGAAAACAAGGGCCUGCUAGACAAUAAAGUUUUAUAGAACUAUUAAAAUAAAAUGGUGGGAUAUUGGGCCGGGCACGGUGGCUGACCCCUAUAAUCCCAGCACUUUGGGAGGCCGAGGCGGGUGGAUCCUGAGGUUAAGAGAUUGAGACCAUCCUGGUCAAAAAGGUGAAACCCCGUCUCUACUAAAAAUACAAAAAUUAGCUGGGCAUGGUGGUGCACGCCUGUAAUCCCAGCUACUUGGGAGGCUGAAGCAGAAUUGCUUGAACCCAGAAGGCGGAGGUUGCGGUGAGCCGAGAUUGUGCCAUUGCACUCCAGUCUGAGUAACAACAGCGAAACUCCAUCUAAAAAAAAAAAAGUGGUGGGAUAUUGGUACAAGGACAGGUACACACAUUUAUGGAAAUGAAUAGGUAGCCUAUAAAAUGGGAAGAAUAUAUGUUCAUUACUUUGUCUCUUUCUCUUAUCACUAUUUAUUUCAUUUAUCUUUAAUAUAUUAUUUUUCUAUCCCUCUUUCACCUACUUAAUCUAUAUAUUUGUCAUGUAUCUUCUUUUUUAUUUGAGAUGAGCACAGAGAAAUAUAUAUAUAUGUGUGUAUAUAUAUAAAAUCACAAACUAAAGCCAGCACUAUAAAAAUAUGAAUAAGAAUUUAAUAAUAGAGAAGAAUUUUCCUCCACCGUAUACAGACAAAAAAGGUCCAUUUAGAUUUGGCUUUGAGCUUCAAGGCAGCCAAAGGGAAAAGAGAUAAAGUUCACUAUAUAUUUCUAGUGUAAGAGUGAAAAAAAUCUUAUUUUUCAGGAAAAGCAAGACAUCUCCUAAUAAGCUUUAUAAGAAAUUUCUCACAUAGAGCUCUGUAAAGAGACGGCAGAACAUAAAUUGGGCAAUCUUUUUCUUAUUGCAACAAAACAUAGAGAAACAUUAAAAGACUGUAUCUUAGAUUAGGCCAGGCACGGUGGGUCAUGCCUGUAAUCCCAGCACUUUGGGAGGCUGAGGCAGGUGAAUCACCUGAGGUCAGGAGUUUGAGACCAGCCUGACCAACAUGGUGAGACCCCAUCCAUAUUAAAAAUACAGAAAUUAGCUGGGCAUGGUGGCACACAAUUGUAAUCCCAGCUACUUGGGAGGCUGAGGCAGGGGAAUCACUUGAACUGGGCAGGUUGCCGUGAGUCAAGAUUGUGCCAUUGCGUUCCAGCCUGGGUGACAAGAGCAAAACUCCAUCUUAAGGAAGAAAAAAACUGUAUCUUUUUAGACUGUAUCUUAGAUCAUUUUUCACUAAAAGCUAAUGACAAGACAGAAGAAUGGAAAUUUUUACACAAUAGAGUUAUAAACUAAUGUUUGCCAAAUGUGGUAGGCAGGAUUCUAAGAUGUCCAUCAAGAUUCCCAUCCUCUGGUACACACGUUCUGAAUGACCCCUUCCCCUUGCACGAGGCCAGGACUUGUGAAUAUAAUGGGGAUAUCACUCCUGUGAUUAUGUUCUGUUACUUGGCAAAAGGGAUUUUACAGAUGUAAUCAAGAUGCCUAGUCGGUUGAUUGAGGUUAGGCCUGAUCUAUCAAGUAAGUGCUGAAAUAAGGUCGAGAAGUUUUCAUCUUGGUCUUGCAGGGGCAUAAUCGUGUUGUGGAGAGCGGCACACGUGGCAGGCAACUGUGGGAUGCCUCUAUAGGCUGAGAAGGGGGCCGGGCCUGGUGCCUCACGCCAAAGUAAUCCCAGCACUUUGGGAGGCUGAGGCAGCUGGAUCAGGAGGUGAGGAGUUCAAGACCAGCCUGGCUAACAUGGUGAAACUCUGUCUCUACUAAAAAUACAAAAAUUAGCCAGGAGUGGUGGCAGGUGCCUGUAAUCCCAGCUGCUUGGGAGGCUAAGGCAGGAGAAUCACUUGAACCCGGGAGGCGGAGGUGCAGUAAGCCAGGAUCCCAUUGGACCCUGCACUCCAGCCUGGGCAACAGAGUGAGACUCCAUCUCCAAAAACAAAACAAAACAAAAAAAAGCUGGGAAGGACCACCGCUAGGCAGCCUCCAAGAAAGGAGGACCUCAGGCUUACAACUGAAUUCUACUGGUAAGGAACUGAAUUCUGCUGGUAACCAGUGAGCUUAGUAGAGCCUAAAACUUAGAUAAGAUUGCAGGCCCAUCAGUGCCUUGAUUUCAACCUUGUAGGACCCUGAACAUAGAGCCAGCAGUGCCAUGCUGGACUUCUAAACUAUGGAUUCAGGAGAUAAGAAAAAUGGGGUUGUUUCAAGCUGUUAAAUUUGUAGUAAUACAUAACACAGCAAGAGAUAACAAAUAUAGUGUGCUUGGAAACCCUACACAGACAAAUAAAUCUCAUCAAAAUAUUUGUCCCAACUUUCUACGUUGAC